rnacentral:rRNA from 1 species
GAAAAGAAACCAACAGGGAUUGCCCUAGUAACGGCGAGUGAAGCGGCAACAGCUCAAAUUUGAAAUCUGGCUCUCGGGCCCGAGUUGUAAUUUGUAGAGGAUGCUUUUGGUGAGGUGCCUUCCGAGUUCCCUGGAACGGGACGCCAUAGAGGGUGAGAGCCCCGUCUGGUUGGACACCGAGCCUCUGUAAAGCUCCUUCGACGAGUCGAGUAGUUUGGGAAUGCUGCUCUAAAUGGGAGGUAUAUGUCUUCUAAAGCUAAAUAUUGGCCAGAGACCGAUAGCGCACAAGUAGAGUGAUCGAAAGAUGAAAAGCACUUUGAAAAGAGAGUUAAAAAGCACGUGAAAUUGUUGAAAGGGAAGCGCUUGUGACCAGACUUGGGCUUGGUUAAUCAUCCGGCGUUCUCGCCGGUGCACUUUUCCAGUCCAGGCCAGCAUCAGUUUGCCUUGGGGGAUAAAAGCUUCGGGAAUGUGGCUCCUCCGGGAGUGUUAUAGCCCGUUGCACAAUACCCUGGGGCGGACUGAGGUUCGCGCAUUCGCAAGGAUGCUGGCGUAAUGGUCAUCANCGACCCGU